rnacentral:misc_RNA from 1 species
GAUGAAGAACGUAGCGAAAUGCGAUACUUGGUGUGAAUUGCAGAAUCCCGUGAACCAUCGAGUCUUUGAACGCAAGUUGCGCCCGUAGCCAUCAGGUUGAGGGCACGUCUGCCUGGGCGUCACAUAUCGUUGCCCAAUGCCUAUUGCAGUGCAAUAGGAAUUUCUAGGGCGAAUGAUGGCUUCCCGUGAGCGUUGUUGCCUCGCGGUUGGUUGAAAAUCGAGUCCUUGGUAGGGUGUGCCAUGGUAGAUGGUGGUCGAGUUAGAACGAUACCGAUCAUGUGCAUGCUCCCCAAAAUAUGGCCUCUAUGACCCACACGCGUCUUUUGACGCUCAUGACGAGACCUCAGGUCAGGCGGGGCUACCCGCUGAAUUUAAGCAUAUCAAUAAGCGGAGGA